AGGAGUGUAGCUCAGUGGUAGAGUGCUUGUAUAGCAUGCACCAGGAGGACCUGGGUUAGAUCCCCAGCAUUGCAA
rnacentral:tRNA from 1 species